AUCUAUGGCCAUACCACCUUGAAUGCGCCUGAUCUCCUCUGAUGUUGAAAGCCAAGCAGGGUUGGGCCUGGUUAGUAUUUGGAUGGGAGACCACCUAGGAAGACCAGAUGGUGUAGGCA
rnacentral:rRNA from 1 species